rnacentral:rRNA from 1 species
AACGAACGCUGGCGGCAGGCUUAACACAUGCAAGUCGAGCGCCUCGCAAGGGGAGCGGCAGACGGGUGAGUAACGCGUGGGAACAUGCCCAAAGGUACGGAACAACUCCGGGAAACUGGAGCUAAUACCGUAUGUGACCGAGGGGUGAAAGAUUUAUCGCCUUUGGAUUGGCCCGCGUUGGUUUAGCUAGUUGGUGGGGUAAAGGCCUACCAAGGCGACGAUCCAUAGCUGGUCUGAGAGGAUGAUCAGCUACACUGGGACUGAGACACGGCCCAGACUCCUACGGGAGGCAGCAGUGGGGAAUAUUGGACAAUGGGCGCAAGCCUGAUCCAGCCAUGCCGCGUGUGUGAUGAAGGCCUUAGGGUUGUAAAGCACUUUCGCCAGGGACGAUAAUGACGGUACCUGGAUAAGAAGCCCCGGCUAACUUCGUGCCAGCCGCCGCGGUAAAAC